rnacentral:rRNA from 1 species
UACGUAGGGGGCAAGCGUUGUCCGGAUUUAUUGGGCGUAAAGAGCGUGUAGGCGGCUAUUUAAGUCCUGCGUGAAAUCCUGCGGCUCAACCGCAGACGGUCGUGGGAAACUGGAUGGCUAGAGUGCGGGAGAGGAGAGUGGAAUUCCCGGUGUAGCGGUGAAAUGCGCAGAUAUCGGGAAGAACACCCGUGGCGAAGGCGGCUCUCUGGAACGCAACUGACGCUGAGACGCGAAAGCGUGGGGAGCAAACAGG